ACGGGUUUAGCUCAGUUGGUAGAGCGGCGGUCUCCAAAACCGUAGGUCGAGAGUUCGAGCCUUUCAACCCGUG
rnacentral:tRNA from 1 species